rnacentral:rRNA from 1 species
CCUAAUACAUGCAAGUCGAACAGUCUUCUCUAUGGAAGCUUGCUUCCACUGAGAAGAUAGUGGCGGACGGGUGAGUAACACGUGGGUAACCUGCCCAUAAGAGGGGGAUAACAUCCGGAAACGGGUGCUAAUACCGCAUAGUUUUCUUGAUCGCAUGAUUGAGAAAGGAAAGACGGCCUUUGUGCUGUCGCUUAUGGAUGGACCCGCGGCGUAUUAGUUAGUUGGUGAGGUAAUGGCUCACCAAGACGAUGAUACGUAGCCGACCUGAGAGGGUGAUCGGCCACAUUGGGACUGAGACACGGCCCAAACUCCUACGGGAGGCAGCAGUAGGGAAUCUUCCGCAAUGGACGAAAGUCUGACGGAGCAACGCCGCGUGAGUGAAGAAAAGGUUUUCGGAUCGUAAAACUCUGUUGUCAGAGAAGAACAAGUUGGAGAGUAACUGCUCCAGCCUUGACGGUAUCUGACCAGAAAGCCACGGCUAACUACGUGCCAGCCGCGGC